rnacentral:rRNA from 1 species
CCGCGUGAACGAUGAAGGCCCUCGGGUCGUAAAGUUCUGUUGUAAGGGAAGAACAAGUGCCGCAGGCAAUGGCGGCACCUUGACGGUACCUUGCGAGAAAGCCACGGCUAACUACGUGCCAGCAGCCGCGGUAAUACGUAGGUGGCAAGCGUUGUCCGGAAUUAUUGGGCGUAAAGCGCGCGCAGGCGGCCUCUUAAGUCUGAUGUGAAAGCCCCCGGCUCAACCGGGGAGGGCCAUUGGAAACUGGGAGGCUUGAGUAUAGGAGAGAAGAGUGGAAUUCCACGUGUAGCGGUGAAAUGCGUAGAGAUGUGGAGGAACACCAGUGGCGAAGGCGACUCUUUGGCCUAUAACUGACGCUGAGGCGCGAAAGCGUGGGGAGCAAACAGGAUUAGAUACCCUGGUAGUCCACGCCGUAAACGAUGAGUGCUAGGUGUUGGAGGGUUUCCGCCCUUCAGUGCUGAAGCUAACGCAUUAAGCACUCCGCCUGGGGAGUACGGUCGCAAGGCUGAAACUUAAAGGAAUUGACGG